rnacentral:miRNA from 1 species
GUUUAGUCAGGUGGGGUGUGA